GAUGAACGCUGGCGGCGUGCCUAAUACAUGCAAGUCGAGCGAACAGACGAGGAGCUUGCUCCUCUGACGUUAGCGGCGGACGGGUGAGUAACACGUGUAUAACCUACCUAUAAGACUGGGAUAACUUCGGGAAACCGGAGCUAAUACCGGAUAAUAUAUUGAACCGCAUUGUUCAAUAGUGAAAGACGGUUUUGCUGUCACUUAUAGAUGGAUCCGCGCCGCAUUAGCUAGUUGGUAAGGUAACGGCUUACCAAGGCGACGAUGCGUAGCCGACCUGAGAGGGUGAUCGGCCACACGGGAACUGAGACACGGUCCAGACUCCUACGGGAGGCAGCAGUAGGGAAUCUUCCGCAAUGGGCGAAAGCCUGACGGAGCAACGCCGCGUGAGUGAUGAAGGUCUUCGGAUCGUAAAACUCUGUUAUUAGGGAAGAACAAAUGUGUAAGUAACUAUGCACGUAUUGACGGUAACUAAUCAGAAAGCCACGGCUAACUACGUG
rnacentral:rRNA from 1 species